rnacentral:rRNA from 1 species
AGCAGCCGCGGUAAUUCCAGCUCCAAUAGCGUAUAUUAAAGUUGUUGCAGUUAAAAAGCUCGUAGUUGAAUUUCGGGAUCAAUAUGUCGGUCGUGCCUCGGUACGUACUGGCGUAAUUGGUUUCUCCCUUCUGAAGAACCUCGAUGUCAUUAAUUUGGUGUCGUGGGGAAUCAGGACUGUUACUUUGAAAAAAUUAGAGUGUUUAAAGCAGGCUCGCGCUUGAAUACAUUAGCAUGGAAUAAUGAAAUAGGACGUUUGAUUCUAUUUUGUUGGUUUCUAGGAUCGACGUAAUGAUUAAUAGGGAUAGUUGGGGGCAUUAGUAUUCAAUUGUCAGAGGUGAAAUUCUUGGAUUUAUUGAAGACUAACUACUGCGAAAGCAUUUGCCAAGGAUGUUUUCAUUAAUCAAGAACGAAAGUUAGGGGAUCGAAGACGAUCAGAUACCGUCGUAGU